GACAGGGGGUGCAAACGUUGUUCGGAAUUACUGGGCGUAAAGGGCGCGUAGGCGGCCUGUUAAGUCGAACGUGAAAUCCCUGGGCUCAACCCAGGAACUGCGUCCGAUACUGGCAGGCUUGAAUCCGGGAGAGGGAUGCGGAAUUCCAGGUGUAGCGGUGAAAUGCGUAGAUAUCUGGAGGAACACCGGUGGCGAAGGCGGCAUCCUGGACCGGCAUUGACGCUGAGGCGCGAAAGCCAGGGGAGCAAACGGG
rnacentral:rRNA from 1 species